AGAGAAAAGAACCAUAUUUCGUUGUAGAAAAUUUAAUCUUAUAUUUUUUCUUUAAUCAGAACGAUUAUUUAUAGAUAUAUUUCGAUAAUUAAGUAUUGUUUUAUAUAAAUAUUCGAGAAAUCAUAAAUGUUUCUUAGCAGGCAAGAAAAAAAUAAGUAAAUUUCGAAAAAAAAUUUUUUAACAUGGGAACCUAACCUAAAAAGUUUAGCAUCGAAAUGUUAAACAAAGAAAUGUAGAGCUAAAAGAUGGAAUAAAGACAUCUCAGGAAAAAAAGGACUUGAAUUAAAUACUAAAACAAUGUUAAUCCUUUAGGCACCAAUUCUUCUCAACUUAGUUACAGGUGUUCAAAUCGUGAAGGAUGGGUGUUUGUUGCGGAGCUGCUCCUGGAGGAGAUCUUGCAUUGCUGAGUCGCAGUUCAAUGCAGUUGGUCCAGUAGCAGAAAGAUUUGAGCUUUUAAAAAGGAGCUAUGCUGUCAUCGUAUCUUAUACACCACGCUGAAAUUCCCCCUUAUAGGUCCAAAAGAAGGAAGUCCUUUUAUAAAAAGGAUAUGGUGUCAUCGUAUUUCUAACACUACGCAGAAAUCCCCUCAUAUAGUUCCAUUCCAAUUUUCCAAAUAUCUGAAGAGACUAGGAAGGAUGUGGAAGAAGAAAAGUGGCCCCAGCAUAUAUCUUUUUUUUAUACAAUUUUUUUUCAUUUUUUAUUAUUUUUUUAUAAUAUUUUUUUUGAGCUCCCGGCCUCACGCAGAAGUGCGAGCAAGAAAGAGGGAUCUUCGGGAGCUGGCCCAGAAGCGGUCGAGAGUGGCAAUGACGUUAUUGUCCCGACGAGGGAUGAUCCGCCGAUCGGUGAGUCGUUUUUUAUUUAACCCCUUCUCUGUUUAAAAUAGCUAUUUUUUUAAUAAAUUCAAUUAAAAUAGAUUUAUGAAUUGAAAAUUAAUUUUUCAUUAUAUAUUCUUAAUUGUGAAAUUUCCUUAACUUUUUAAAAAAAUGUAAUGUAUUUAGAAACAUUUGAAAAAAGUAGAUAUAUCAUAUUGAUCCAAAUAAAAUAUUAAAAAUUAAAAAGAAACAGGGAAGGAAAUCUGACAAC